ACGAACGCUGGCGGCGUGCUUAACACAUGCAAGUCUACGAGAAAAGAGUAGCAAUAUUCUGAGUAAAGUGGCGCAAGGGUGCGUAACUCGUAAGCAAUCUACCUUUAGAAGGGGAAUAACCCAGCGAAAGCCGGACUAAUACCCCAUAAUGCAGCGGAACCGCAUGGUUAUGUUGUUAAAGUCUAUAUGACGUCUAGAGAUGAGCUUGCGUCUGAUUAGCUAGUUGGUGAGGUAACGGCUCACCAAGGCUACGAUCAGUAGCUGGUCUGAGAGGAUGAUCAGCCACACUGGAACUGAGACACGGUCCAGACUCCUACGGGAGGCAGCAGUGAGGAAUAUUGGGCAAUGGACGCAAGUCUGACCCAGCAACGCCGCGUGAAGGAUGAAUGUCGUAAGAUUGUAAACUUCUGUGAGAAGGGACGAAAAAACAGGCUCAAACCCUGUUCUGACGGUACCUUCAGAGGAAGCCCCGGCUAACUACG
rnacentral:rRNA from 1 species